AAUAGAUACCCUGGUAGUCCACGCCGUAAACGAUGAGUGCUAAGUGUUGGGGGGUUUCCGCCCCUCAGUGCUGCAGCUAACGCAUUAAGCACUCCGCCUGGGGAGUACGGUCGCAAGACUGAAACUCAAAGGAAUUGACGGGGGCCCGCACAAGCGGUGGAGCAUGUGGUUUAAUUCGAAGCAACGCGAAGAACCUUACCAGGUCUUGACAUCCCGGUGACCACUAUGGAGACAUAGUUUCCCCUUCGGGGGCAACGGUGACAGGUGGUGCAUGGUUGUCGUCAGCUCGUGUCGUGAGAUGUUGGGUUAAGUCCCGCAACGAGCGCAACCCUUAUUCUUAGUUGCCAUCAUUCAGUUGGGCACUCUAAGGAGACUGCCGGUGAUAAACCGGAGGAAGGUGGGGAUGACGUCAAAUCAUCAUGCCCCUUAUGACCUGGGCUACACACGUGCUACAAUGGACGGUACAAACGGUUGCCAACCCGCGAGGGGAGCUAAUCCGAUAAAACCGUUCUCAGUUCGGAUUGUAGGCUGCAACUCGCCUAC
rnacentral:rRNA from 1 species